rnacentral:rRNA from 1 species
UACAGAGGUCCCAAGCGUUGUUCGGAUUCAUUGGGCGUAAAGGGUGCGUAGGUGGCGUCGUAAGUCGGGUGUGAAAUCUCGGGGCUUAACUCCGAAACUGCAUUCGAUACUGCGGUGCUUGAGGACUGGAGAGGAGACUGGAAUUCACGGUGUAGCAGUGAAAUGCGUAGAUAUCGUGAGGAAGACCAGUGGCGAAGGCGGAUCUCUGGACAGUUCCUGACGCUGAGGCGCGAAGGCCAGGGGAGCAAAUGGG